GACGAACGCUGGCGGCGUGCUUAACACAUGCAAGUCGAGCGGUAAGGCCCUUUCGGGGGUACACGAGCGGCGAACGGGUGAGUAACACGUGGGUGACCUGCCCUUAGCUCUGGGAUAAGCCUGGGGAAACUGGGUCUAAUACCGGAUAUGACUCCAUGACGCAUGUUGUGGGGUGGAAAGCCUUGUGCGGCUAGGGAUGGGCCUGCGGCCUAUCAGCUUGUUGGUGGGGUGAUGGCCUACCAAGGCGACGACGGGUAGCCGGCCUGAGAGGGCGACCGGCCACACUGGGACUGAGACACGGCCCAGACUCCUACAGGAGGCAGCAGUGGGGAAUCUUGCGCAAUGGGCGAAAGCCUGACGCAGCGACGCCGCGUGGGGAUGACGGCCU
rnacentral:rRNA from 1 species